CUAUAAACCCGAACUAUCGCUGCGUUUUAAGUAACGGGGAGGAAAGUCUGGACAGCAUAGAGCAACCCGCCGGUGAACAGCCGGGAUCUGGCAACAGGUACAGAAAGGGCCACAGAAAAUAACCGCCACAGCAAUGUGGUAAGGGUGAAAAUGUGAGGUAAGAGCUCACGCUGGUACAUAGUAAUAUGGAUCAGGGGUAAACCUCGGGAGCUGCAAUGCCAUGUAUAUGAUCGGUCGAAGGCGGCUCGUCUGAAUAUUUCCUUCGGGAAAUUACGAUCAAGGGUAGGCAGUUAGAGCCAUACAGUAAUGUCUGGCCUAGAUAAAUGAUAGUGUUGGAACAGAAUCCGGCUUAUGAGGUUUAUAGUUUA
rnacentral:RNase_P_RNA from 1 species